rnacentral:rRNA from 1 species
AUUGAACGCUGGCGGCAGGCUUAACACAUGCAAGUCGAGCGGAGAUGAGGUGCUUGCACCUUAUCUUAGCGGCGGACGGGUGAGUAAUGCUUAGGAAUCUGCCUAUUAGUGGGGGACAACAUUCCGAAAGGAAUGCUAAUACCGCAUACGCCCUACGGGGGAAAGCAGGGGAUCUUCGGACCUUGCGCUAAUAGCUGAGCCUAAGUCGGAUUAGCUAGUUGGUGGGGUAAAGGCCCACCAAGGCGACGAUCGGUAGCGGGUCUGAGAGGAUGGUCCGCCACACUGGGACUGAGACACGGCCCAGACUCCUACGGGAGGCAGCAGUGGGGAAUAUUGGACAAUGGGCGGAAGCCUGAUCCAGCCAUGCCGCGUGUGUGAAGAAGGCCUUUUGGUUGUAAAGCACUUUAAGCGAGGAGGAGGCUACCUGGAUUAAUACUCUAGGAUAGUGGACGUUACUCGCAGAAUAAGCACCGGCUAACUCUGUGCCAGCAGCCGCGGUAACAC